AUGAAAUGCAGGUGGAUCAUCCUCUUCUUGAUGGCAGUAGCUACAGGGGUCAACUCAGAAAUCCAGCUGCAGCAAUCUGGGCCUGAGCUUCAGAGACCCGGGGCCUCAGUCAAGUUGUCGUGCAAGGCUUCUGGCUACACCUUUACAGAAUACUAUAUGUACUGGGUGAAGCAGAGGCCUAAUCAGGGCCUGGAAUUAAUAGGAAGGAUUGAUCCAGAGGAUGGUAGUACUGAUUAUGCUGAGAAGUUCAAAAACAAGGCCACACUGACUGCAGAUACAUCGUCCAACACAGCCUACAUGCAACUCAGCAGCCUAACAUCUGAGGACACAGCAAUCUAUUUCUGUGCUAGACACAGUAUUAGCACUGUAGUUUUUAGUCUGAUACUGGGAAAGAAGGAUAACUGA